GGAAGUAAAAGUCGUAACAAGGUCUCCGUUGGUGAACCAGCGGAGGGAUCAUUACUGAGUUUACGCUCUACAACCCUUUGUGAACAUACCUAUAACUGUUGCUUCGGCGGGUAGGGUCUCCGCGACCCUCCCGGCCUCCCGCCCCCGGGCGGGUCGGCGCCCGCCGGAGGAUAACCAAACUCUGAUGUAACGACGUUUCUUCUGAGUGGUACAAGCAAAUAAUCAAAACUUUUAACAACGGAUCUCUUGGUUCUGGCAUCGAUGAAGAACGCAGCGAAAUGCGAUAAGUAAUGUGAAUUGCAGAAUUCAGUGAAUCAUCGAAUCUUUGAACGCACAUUGCGCCCGCCAGCAUUCUGGCGGGCAUGCCUGUUAUCUUUGAACGCACAUUGCGCCCGCCAGCAUUCUGGCGGGCAUGCCUGUUUACAGCUGAUGUAGGCCCUCAAAGGUAGUGGCGGACCCUCCCGGAGCCUCCUUUGCGUAGUAACUUUACGUCUCGCACUGGGAUCCGGAGGGACUCUUGCCGUAAAACCCCCAAUUUUCCAAAGGUUGACCUCGGAUCACCCGCUGAACUUAAGCAUAUCAAUAAGCGGAGGGUAGGAAUA
rnacentral:rRNA from 1 species